rnacentral:lncRNA from 1 species
CAUUUAUUAUCUUUGUGCCUUUUGGAAAUUGGUUUGCCUCUCCACACCUUUUCCUCCUCUGCCAAAUAAACCUAAUUUGUCCUGUGUUGUAAGAAACAAAUGGGAUCAUAAAUUCUUUCUGAAGUGCCAAGCACUAUUGAAAUAUAAAUUAAUAUUUAUUCACUAGGAAUUAUUGUCUCCUGACAGUCAAAUAUUUGCUUACUGCUACUCCCAUUUCAACCACCUUGUGAUUACCUCCCCCUAACAAGCUUUCUUGUCUUUUGUUUUUUCUAGGUCAUUCUAUGAUUGAUCGUAAGAAAGUACAACAUGCAGAUCAAUAUUAUUUCGACAAGCCUGCUGUGGGUGGACGGGGACCCUUGGAGCUUGUUAGGAACCCACAUUCCUGGGCUCCCUCUGGAUGGGCUGAGGCCUCACGGGGUGGGCCCCGGAGUCUGUGUGUCGGCAGGGCUCCGGGGCUCCGACGUGCAGGGGGACGACUUCUCCUUCACCGACCUCCACACCCACGCAAGCAGGGAAGUGCCUGAAGACAGCGUGAAGAGGUAACAUGAACCAGCAGGCAGGUUGGAGAGGAGGCAGGAGCGGAAAGCAAUU